CUGACGGAAGUGGUCAAUAGAUGC
rnacentral:siRNA from 1 species